rnacentral:SRP_RNA from 1 species
CCGUGCAGCCGGGGAGAUAGCGGUGCCCUGAACCUGCAAUCCGCUACAGCAGGGGUGAUACCAAUCUGAGGGCUUUUCAUUGUGGAGCUGCCCUUUAUAAGUGGCGUUGACGUUUGGGUCUUACGCAACAGGAAUCUGUGAACCGUGUCAGGACAGGAAUGUAGCAGCACUAAGCAGAACCUCUUGUGUGCCGUAAGGGUGCCUGGGCCGAGUUAACUGUAGAGGUAACGUCCGGGAUGGAUCGCUCGAGGUGCGGUGCACGG